GGAUGAAGAGUGAAGAGGAUUUACAAUGUGGUCCUAUUUGUAGUAAAACAAGUAGUACGUUUGAUUGACAAGCACUGACCACGUGUGCAGAGGGCAGUGAUUGGACGGUACUUGACAAUGCAAACAGUUACAUCAGAUAUCAUUGAUUGUCGGCAAAAUCAGCGAUAACAAAGGAAAGCUUUGAAAAGAAUUUAAGGAUACAAAACGAAUGUCCUUUGCCAUGAAACUGAGGGAGUCAGUGGGAAAGGUAAAAAGGUAACUUUGGAGAAACAAAUAUUUAACUUGUAAUCGAAAGUUAACGAACGUAAGGGGAAAAGAAGUGGUCGCUCAAGUAGCGUAGGUGUGGUGUUGGGUGACUUGGAUUAGCAUAAGUAAUCAGAUUACCAAAAAACAGUAGAGCUAAGCACCUCCUACUUGAGUGUGGGUGGUCCUAUGUGCUGUGUUAAUGAUACCGCCAGUCAACGUCCGACAUCAAAAGGAACUGUAUCAAAAGAAGACUCGUUAACUAACUGAUUCAACGGAAAGUAGAAGACAAGAUGAGUUCCGAAACAUGGUGCGAUCCCACAAAGACAGCCAAGAGGUCAGUCAAAAGAAAGUCAAAUUUGAACAAAUUACGAUACCACAAGUAUGUAAUACUGUAAGUAUUCAUAACAGAUUAUAAGUUAAAUGAGUAAGUAUCGAUUUUCGAAUUAAGCUUAAAUGGAAAAAAAAUUUACAACAAAAGUCACAAAUGUAAUUCAUAUUGAAGUUGCCUUUUAUGUUAGUGUACUUUUACAUGAUUAUUCUUUACAAUUUCUUACCAGAUCAGGGCAAGUUGAGUCGAGGGCAGGUCAUUAGUGUUGAUAUUCAUGCGUAUCAUGACUAAAUUCUUUCUUAUACAAACACAAUUACUUACAGUUUUGAAGAGCUGGUUUAAUAUAAAUGUAAAA